GGGGACGUAGCCAACUGAGCACGGCACCUGCCUUGCAAGCAGUUCUAUGCGGGUGCAAAGCCCGUCGUCUCCACCA
rnacentral:tRNA from 1 species